rnacentral:rRNA from 1 species
UACGUAGGGUGCGAGCGUUGUCCGGAAUUAUUGGGCGUAAAGGGCUCGUAGGCGGUUUGUCGCGUCGGGAGUGAAAGCCAGGUGCUUAACACCUGGCUUGCUUUCGAUACGGGCAGACUAGAGGUAUGCAGGGGGAGAACGGAAUUCCUGGUGUAGCGGUGAAAUGCGCAGAUAUCAGGAGGAACACCGGUGGCGAAGGCGGCUCUCUGGGCCUUACCUGACGCUGAGGAGCGAAAGCGUGGGUAGCGAACAGG